CGCCCCGCGCCGCCGCUCUUAUACCCCGCGGCCUCUCGCGAUAGGAGGAGGCACCCCCCGGGGCGCAGGCAUUGGCUGAGCCCCCUGGGCCCGCCCCCGCCGCGUCCCCCCGGGCCGGGGCCGUGAGGGGCGCGCGGCCCGGGACGUUUAAAGGGCAAAUUAAAGUUAUCUGGGGCUGCCGGGGAACGCGGCGUCGGAGCAUGUGCCCGCUGUAUUAAUAGCACAGGAGGGGACACGGGCAGCUGGCAGGAGCGCUCCAGGCCGAGUUAACCGUUCCGUGCAGGCAGAAGGCAGUGGCUGGGGGCUGAGGUCUCCUCAUGAACCACAGCUCUGAGAAGUAGAUAACAGCUAUAACUUCCUUUGUACCUUGGCCAUCCUGAGAAGAUGGAGCCUGUCCCAGCUUCUAAGAAAGGAGAAGAGAGCCCCUCUGAAGAGACGUUUCCCCAAGCAAGGUCCGACAUAGGGGAUCCCUAGAAUUAGACUGAAAGUAAAUAUCCCUUUAACAUCUUGGGGUUUCUGCUGCUGGUUUCACACCCACAUGGACCCAUGGGACAGUGAUGCUCUCAGCUGCUGCCUGACUAUCCAGACUGAUAGGGUCUCCUCAGUGUGUGCACUCAGGUGUCAGCCAGUGCCCCACUGACUGGUGUAUGGUGAGUGAGAGAGAUAUGCUUGUCAUGGUGUUGACCAGAUUUCUUGGAAGGUGUGACAGCUGCAAACAGAAUCAACAAUGUCUGGGCAGGUGUGUGGUCAGAGCAAAACUCAGUUAUGGGCUGAAGCCCUCUGUAUUUUCCAUAAUGUACAAUAAAAUUUUCUCAUGCAGCUAGAAGUAAUGCUUCUUCACAGUGGCAUUCUGAAUGUGUAUUACGUCCUGAUUAAGAAAUUCAGCUCUUCACUGAGUUCUCCUACUUACUUAAUGGGGUUCUGUUAAUGUUUGUUUAUUUCCUAACUGGAGAAACGCCGGGUUGGUAAAUGCAGAAUUCAGAUGCAGCUGCCUGAGUUCCAUGACCAAGAAAAUAGGUCUGAUUUGUUUUCAAAGUUUAGCAAAGCAAAGCUAUUAAAAAGUGAAAGUAUUAAUGUAGACUUUUCUGACAAUGUUUGCAACAUGCCCUUUUUCAGAAAACCUUUUGUGUUGGAAGAAUGUCUAGUAGGUCACGUAGCCCUCUUUUCAUAGUGCAGCAUUCUUUUCAUCAUUCGUGCAAUUCGUGCAUCAUUGUAUAAUGACUGUCGUGUUCAGCUUUCCAUAGCUCUGGGGACUCUUGCAUAUUUUUUAAUUGCCUGCCUCUUCUUAGAGUUGUAAGGACUUGUUCUUUGCUCAAGCUUACCCUUCUAAAUAUUAUUUUAAUAUCAAUCUUAAUGGGAUAAUGCAAGUACUUGGUCUUUGCUGAAUUCAUUUUUUUAUUGUUCUUUGUGUUGCAGUAAUUUUUGAGUAUAAAAAAAUUAUUUAAGUUGAUCUUUUUAUGUUAUGUUUAUGUUUUUAGGUUAAUCUUCUGGUUUCUAGUUGCUAAGUUGCUUCUCUUUGUGGUUUUACUGCUCUAGAUAUUUUAAAAAUCAGUUGUUUCAAGGAGACAGAUUUGAAUUAAGUUAAAUUAUUUCAGUGAUUUAUUUGGUUUCCAUCUGCUAUUUCUGACAAUACAUCUGGUUAUAAUAUAAUUUUCUUUUUAAUAACAGUGUCGAUAUUGUUAGUUCCUGCUCAAAUUGCUACCUCUCCUUGCCUUCAGAUAUUCUGUAGAGUUUCUCAUUCUGCAAUUUUACUUUAGACUAGUCUUUCUUCUGUGAAAUAGUUCAUAAUUUUCUUGCUGACAAUAAUUUUAUUUUCAUAUAUUGUAGGACAAACUGAAAUUAUUUCUGACAACAGUAUAUUUAACUGAAUCACAGCUUUGUACUCAGAUAACCCGCACUGCAGUAGCAAAACAAGGUUUGGUGUGGAGAUUACUGAUGAAGAGUUUGAGCUGCUACUUGACAGAAUCCCCCUUGAUGAAGAUGGAAAUGUCAGAUACCCCCAGUUCAUGGCCAGGUUUGAUUUCUGGAUCCUUCUGGACAAAAUGGACAGUAUCCUUCUGGACAGCACAGAGCUGGAUAAACACAUCAUGCGAUAGGUGAGCAAUUGGCUCACGGAUCAGGCGCAAAGAGUAGUGGUGAAUGGGGGAACAUCAGACUGGUGAUCUGUCUCUAGUGGCAUUCUGCAGGGCUCCAUCUUAGAACAAAUGCUCUUCAAUGUGCCCAUAAAAAUCUUGGAUGCAGGACUCAAAAGUAGACAAAGUAAGUUUGCUGACAACACUAAACUGAGAGGAGCUGUUGACUCCCUCGAAGGCAGGGAGGCCCUGCAGAGAGACCUCGACAAAUCAGAGGACUGGGCAAUCACCAACCAGG